AUGUACUUUUCCAGACUACACUUGUUCUGUUACGUAGGGGAGUGUCUCUGUGGUGUGUGUGUGUGUGUGUGUGUGUGUGUGUGUGUGUGUGUGUGUGUGUAUAUGUCUAUGUCAUGUGUGUGUUUACACUUCACAGGCAGAGGUAGCGCAAAUCUCUGGAGUCUGUUCUCUGUUAGAUCAUUAAAGAGAGGACUAACACACACAUACACACACACACACACACACACACACGCACACGCAUAUACACACAUCUUGUGUUUCUCUUUACUUCCUACAUCAAGGGCAUCUUCAAAGACUUACUGCAGAUUCUUUCUACAGAUAGGUUGAAUGGUGGAACUGACUGUGGUGAGUGGGAGGACAGUGACCUUCACUGUGAUCCUGCAGAUGAGUGUGGUGUCAAUGAGUUCUUCAGUCCUGUCAGGAGUGUGAGUCUGGCGGCUGGACAGACAGAAACCAUAGAGCUCCACUACCUGCCCUUCCACCUGGGGAAAAGACACUGCUCCGUCCUGCUAGUCAGCCAGCAGGUAUACAGGGCCGUGUGUGUGUGUGUGUGUGUGUGUGUGUGUGUGUGUGUGUGUGUGUGUGUGUGUGUGUGUGUGUGUGUGUGUGCUUGGAUAAUGUGUGUUGUUGAUUAUAGGUGUGUGUGUGUGUGUGUUUUGUCGGUGUAGGUUGGUGAGCAGGUGUAUCUUGUGGAGGGGACAGCAGAUCUUCCCCUGUCCUCCCCUCUGACCACAAAGCCCAGUCCUAAUGUAGUCCAUGUUAGCAGCGCCACCUCUGGUGAGUACUGGUACUGAACACAUCUGCAGAGUCAUGAUGACUGUACUGAGGCGGCAGGUUGCCUAGCUUUAAUGAGCGUUGGGCCAGUAACCGAAAGGUCGCAGGUUCGAACCCCCG
rnacentral:lncRNA from 13 species